ensembl:lncRNA
GGGGAGGGGGGGGGGGGUGGUAAACUCCACGGUCAUUGCCGGAGACCGUUCCCAAGCGCUGCAGCCCCCGAGCAGCUGCUGAAAUGCCUCAGCCUCCCACGUCUCGGCCUGGCCGGCUGCCGCCGCAGGCGCAUUCCUGGCAGGUCCAGGAGUCAAGAAAAAUCCGCCAGAACAAGCCGUGCCUCGCUGCUCUCGGGUUACCAGCAGGUGGAAGGUGGGGCCGCCUCUGAUCGAAAUGGCUUUGACAGACGGCCGGCCGGAGUUCAAGGAUGUUUCCCGCUCGGCAGGCGGGGCUGCGGGGCUUCCCAGGACCCGGGUCCCUCCCGGCGGAGAGGAGCUCUCCUUUCCACAAACCCGGUGCUCCUUCUCCUCUCCGAGCUCUCGCCCAGCCCGCUGCCCUGCACGGCGAAAGAGAGCGUCCUGCCGGUCCCCCUCCUUUCCUCUGCGCUGAAAAUAGUUCCAAGGGAAGCCAGAGGUCACGGGGAUGGCCCUUCCGGCCUAAAGCUGCCCGAGGCCUUGUGAUCGUGUUCGCAUCUUCUCAAAAACGUACUGUCGGCCAGGACACCGGUGGGCUUUGCUUUCCAUUUUUACCUGGAAACUAUGGAAUUGAGUGUGAAUACUGAAUUCCGAGGGCCACUUGCCUCUGGGAACGAGCUGGGGUAUGGUCUUCACGCCGCAUCCGGUCCCGUGCAGGACAAUGCUGUUUAAAGGCUUGAUGAUACUGACGCUGAUUUACAGACUCAAUAGCAGGAAGAAUGUCACUAAACGACGACGACGGUGAUCAGCAGCUUCCCCCUCAGUCUGCUUGACUCAAAGCGCCAGCUCCCCCUGUGUCUUUAGACAGUUUAGGGACUGGGUUCACAGGAGUUCUAAACUGGGCAAGCCAUGGCUGGCGCAAAAGCAAUUCUUACUCCUCUCGAUUUUUUUUAAAAAAAUCAUCCUUGUGGUUUCUACUGUUCACCUUUCUACUUCCCUGAAACGCAUAAGCUCGUGUGCGCACCAAAGGCCUCUGAGCGCCCGCGGCUGCUGUUCACGCCUGCGGUUCCUGCUGGGCCCCUGCGCCUCUCUGUCCGCGGCUGCCUCCUGGGCUCUGCUCGGGAGGGCUGCACACCCCAGCACCCCCGCAAACGCGGCGUGGGAGUGGGGGAGGCUCCCCGGAGGCUUGUUCCACACCGUUUCCCGCGGACCCCGGUAGGAUUAGCCCAGCCCGCAGCGGCAUCCCGGGUCACGGGCGCACGAGGAUCAGCUUGCCUCCCUUCCCUGUUCCAUUUCCUGCUAAGAUUACUGCCAGGACACGUCACGAGCCUCGAGUCUUCGUCACAGUGGGCUCCCGGGGGGAUGCACACUGAGACAGCGAGCCCAGCCGCCGGCAGGCAGGAGAAGCUGAGCGGGGUGGAACCGAGAAGGGCCCCAGAGCCACGAACACCUGCACAGCCUCGCCUGACCCGCGCUCUGCCUCUGGCUCCCGCGUCCCCCUGGCCUCCCUCCCCUCUGCUUCUGGAAGAAGCGUCUCAGCACCAUCUUCUUGUGCCUGGGGGUGUGCCUCUCCGACUCUCCCCACUGCCUACCCAAACCAGCCUCCUCACCUUCUCUGGAAGGCCGGCCGCUGGGAGCACCCUUCCUGGAACAGCGGCGCAUGUGCAGAAGGCCAGACUGUUACAGUAGAAUCUGGAUUCGUUCUGCUCAUUUUGGAGAUGGUUACGAGAGCUCGGACUGGUGCCACGUUGUGCAUUUGGAAGAAUGAUUGCAUUAUAAAACCCAUUCCAAGCUUCCCACUGUUCCAACAAUGGAAAUAGUGAAGAAUGUUUGGACUGACGUAAAAUGUGAAGAUGUAAUUCCAACAUCAUUGAGGCUUUCUACCACUCAAACAUUCCCCCAGAAAAGUCUCAGUCACCUGCCUAAUUCUGUUCUGAUGGCAGAGGAAGAAGAUAGAGAGAAUGUGGAAGGGGCACUGUUCAAAGAAAGAAUUUUUCAGAGUUGUUGAAAGACUUCAUCUCAGAUGCAGCAAGCCCAGUGAAUUUCAACCAGGAGGAAUUUUGAAAAAUCACAGUAAACCCAAAGAAAAAUAGAAGAUCCUAAAAGCAGCCAGAGAAAAAAGACAGAUCACUUACAAAAGAAGAGCGAUUAGACUGGCUGUUGAUUUCCAAACAGUGACAACUGGAGCCAGGCAGAAGCCCAUCUGACUUUUAUCCGUACUUGGACUUCACAUAAAUGGGGUCACGCAGUGUAUAAUCUUCUGCUUUUGUUCCUUUCUCUCAACAUCAUGUCUGUGAGGUUCAUCCAUGCUGUUACCAUUAGCAGCAGUUCUCUUUUGAAGUGCUGUGCAGUAUUCCAUUUCGUGAAUAUACUAUAAUUUAUGUAUAUUCAUCAUAUUGCUGAUGGGCGUUUGAACGGUCUCCAGCUUUUCACUAUUUUGAAUAAAGCUGCCGUGAUUCUGUUCUUUUUUUAAAAAGAGUAUUUCUUGUAAUAUGUCUCCUGCAAUAUUGUGAAUUCACUCUAUGGAAAACUAAUGAUGAUUAAAAUGUUAACAAAACACCAAGUUCUUAACUGUCUUGAUUUCCACACCCAGAAAGUUCAAACCCUUAAUAAAAUACUUCAUUGCA